UCCAGGGUAGCCUAGUGGACAUGGCAUCUGUCCGGUAAGCAGAACACUGUGGGUUCGAUUCCCAUCCCUGGAC
rnacentral:tRNA from 1 species